CGCGUAGGCGGUCUUGUAAGUCUUGUGUGAAAUCCCUCGGCUUAACUGAGGAACUGCACGAGAUACUGCGAGACUUGAGUUCGGGAGAGGAAAGCGGAAUUCCGGGUGUAGCGGUGAAAUGCGUAGAUAUCCGGAGGAACACCGGUGGCGAAGGCGGCUUUCUGGACCGACACUGACGCUGAGGCGCGAAAGCUAGGGGAGCAAACG
rnacentral:rRNA from 1 species